GUAUAAGUACAUACCGUAAAACGGUGAAACUGCGAAUGGCUCAUUAAAUCAGCUAUGGUUCCUUAGAUCAUAUAUACUACAUAGAUGACUGUAGUAAUUCUAGAGCUAAUACAUGCAGCCUUCUGCCCAAAUAAACUAUUAAGUUUAUCUACAGAACACUUUUAGCAUCCUUACAAAUAUGAUACUAUCUUAGUUGACAGGUAGCUCCAAAUUUAGUCAAAAGUACCAGAAAGCUGAAGUUUAAACUAAAGUAAAAUGCUUCGACAUAAUGGCAGAG
rnacentral:ncRNA from 1 species